GCGCCCAUAGCUCAGUUGGAUAGAGCGUCGGACUACGAAUCCGAAGGUCGCAGGUUCGAAUCCUGCUGGGCGCACCA
rnacentral:tRNA from 1 species